rnacentral:rRNA from 1 species
AAUAUGUGACGAGGGGGGCAACCCUGAUCCAGCCAUGCCGCGUGCGUGAAGAAGGUCUUCGGAUUGUAAAGCACUUUAAGUUGGGAGGAAGGGCUUUAGGUUAAUACCCUGAAGUUUUGAGGUUCCGAACAGAAUAAGCACAGGCUAACUCUGUGCCAGCAGCCGCGGUAAUACAGAGGGUGCAAGCGUUAAUCGGAAUUACUGGGCGCAAAGCGCGCGUAGGUGGUUCAGUAAGAUGGGUGUGAAAUCCCCGGGCUUAACCUGGGAACUGCUUUCAUAACUGCUGAGCUAGAGUACGGUAGAGGGUAGUGGAAUUUCCUGUGUAGCGGUGAAAUGCGUAGAUAUAGGAAGGAACACCAGUGGCGCAGGCGACUACCUGGACUGAUACUGACACUGAGGUGCGAAAGCGUGGGGAGCAAACA